UCCCCACUGGCUCAGCAGUAAAGAAUCUGCCUGCAAUGCAGGAGAUCCAGGUUUGAUCCCUGGGUUGGGAA
rnacentral:tRNA from 1 species